rnacentral:rRNA from 1 species
UACGUAGGCAGCGAGCGUUGUUCGGAAUUACUGGGCGUAAAGAGUGUGUAGGCGGUGCUCCCAGUCUGUUGUGAAAUCUCCCGGCUUAACUGGGAGGGUGCAGCGGAAACUAGAGUGCUAGAGGGUGGGAGAGGUAAGCGGAAUUCCUGGUGUAGCGGUGAAAUGUGUUGAUAUCGGAAGGAACGCCGGUGGCGAAAGCGACACACUGGGCCUUGUCUGACGCUGAGGCACGAAAGCCAGGGGAGCAAACGGG